CUGGCUCAGAGGCCCAGGAAAGAGAGAGAAGACCAACCAAGGGGUGGCUGGAGUCCCAAGGCCAUGAACUUUCAGGAAAAUGUGACCCUGGCCAUGGCCUUGUUCACCAUCCUGACCUCCAUCUAUUUCUUCAACAAGGCUCAGCAGUGAGAAGACACAGGACCUCCCCGCACAAGAGCCCUGCCUCUCCCUCUACCAUCGCUCUGAGGCCAAAUAAAUGUAACUGAAUCCGCAC
rnacentral:lncRNA from 1 species